rnacentral:rRNA from 1 species
AGCGAACGCUGGCGGCAGGCUUAACACAUGCAAGUCGAGCGGGCAUCCUUGUGGUGUCAGCGGCAGACGGGUGAGUAACGCGUGGGAACGUGCCCUUCGGUUCGGAAUAACUCAGGGAAACUUUAGCUAAUACCGGAUACGUGCGAGAGCAGAAAGGUUUAUCUGCCGAAGGAUCGGCCCGCGUCUGAUUAGCUAGUUGGUGAGGUUAUGGCUCACCAAGGCGACGAUCAGUAGCUGGUUUGAGAGGAUGAUCAGCCACACUGGGACUGAGACACGGCCCAGACUCCUACGGGAGGCAGCAGUGGGGAAUAUUGGACAAUGGGGGCAACCCUGAUCCAGCCAUGCCGCGGGAGUGAUGACGGCCUUAGGGUUGUAAAGCUCUUUUCUCCGGGACGAUAAUGACGGUACCGGAGGAAUAAGCCCCGGCUAACCUCGUG